AUCAUAAACAGAUUGCCCUCCUUGGAGUAAGUUCAAGGAAUUUUCUGUCGCUCCUGCCCACGGAUUUGAACGUUCAGAAUGAAUUAAGUCUAAGCAAUUUUUAGAAAACUUCUACAUCCUAGAAGUCAAUGGCUACCAAACUGUGAGAAACAGGAAGCAGCGCUCUAGGCCUCACAAUCUAUACAGAAAAUGGAAGUUGAAUAUUAUGAGGAGAGACACACAUCAUUUCUGCUUAUAGUUCAUUGACGAGAAGUAGUUACAUGAUCUUACCUUACAGCAAGAGGCAGGGGCACGAUGGGAACAUACAUAGACACUUGAUGCUGAAUCACCAAAACAGAACAAAACAGGAAUACAAGAUUCCUUGUUAUGAUUUGGAUUCCUCAGAUCAGGCACACUUGGAUAAGACUUGAAUUCAAAACUGACAUGGCUGGAUGAGCGGUUUGGAGGUCAGCACCUGGGAUCUGAACCCGUGAACCCCAGGCUGCCAAAGAGGAGAGCAUGAAUUUAAACCACUGUAUUACCGGACCAGCCCGAAGUACAAUAUGUUUUAAAAGAACCACGAUAUGACCUUAUAUUGAACUUUAAAAAUAUCUGACGUUGUCUUUUCUAUGCCUAACAGAAAUUUUACCAUGAAUAAAAUAAUGACAUUCAUGGAAUGAG